rnacentral:rRNA from 1 species
UACGUAGGUGGCAAGCGUUGUCCGGAUUUACUGGGCGUAAAGAGCGCGCAGGCGGUCGUAUAAGUCGAAUGUGAAAGCCCCCGGCUCAACUGGGGAGGGUCAUUCGAUACUGUUCGACUCGAAGGCAGGAGAGGGAAGUGGAAUUCCGGGUGUAGUGGUGAAAUUCGUAGAUAUUGGGAAGAACACCGGUGGCGAAGGCGGCGCUCUGGACCGAGACUGACGCUGAGGCGCGAAGGCGUGGGGAGCAAACAGG